rnacentral:rRNA from 1 species
UAGGGAAUCUUCCACAAUGGACGCAAGUCUGAUGGAGCAACGCCGCGUGAGUGAAGAAGGUCUUCGGAUCGUAAAGCUCUGUUGUUGGUGAAGAAGGUUAGAGGCAGUAACUGGUCUUUAUUGACGGU